GGUUGGUCUUCAUGCAGUGGUGUUUACGACUAAUUGAUCACGACCAGUUAUAGAUUCCUUUGUUCCUUCUCCGCUCCCACUGCUUCACUUGACCAGCCUUAA
rnacentral:Y_RNA from 1 species